GUACCCUUGAGUGCCGCCUGGAAAAAGCACAGCUUCCAGGAAUGGUUGGACUACAGCUCCCAUCAUUCCUGACCAUUGGGCAUGCUGGAAAUGGCUGAUGAGAGUUGCAAUCCAAAGUAUUUUGUGGACAACAGAUUGGGGGAGUGUUCACUAGGUAACUAAAAAGCUAUUUUAGUGUUCUCUGUAAAUGCGACACCAAUGAUCUAACUGGAAUCAAAGCAUGGAUGUAAUUACAAGAACCUGAACAAGUGCUUUAACUGGCUGUCAGGUUUGUGCUCAAACUGUAGGUAAUUGCACUUAGCAAAUAAGCAACACUCUUUCGGGUGAGCUUCUCAGCUUGCCAUCAAACACAGAGAUCUGAGUAAAGUAACACAUUCCCAUCUUUUAGGGGGCAGCUACAGCUCAGCAACAGAGCCCAUGCUUUCCAUGCAGAAGGUCCCAGGUUCAAUCCCAGGCAUCACCAAUCUCAAACAACCACCAUGGUAAGAUUCUUACCUGAGAUCUUGAAGAGUAGACAGUGCUAUGCUGGCAAUUCCCCCUUCUCUCCCCCCACAUACAUAACACACCAUGGCCAAGCAAAGAUUCCAAGAAAAAGGCAAAUAAGUGGAGGGACAUAUUAGAAGUUUAUAAAAUUAUGCAUGCUGUGGAAAAGUAUGUAGGGAGAGUAUUUUCCCCUUUCCCAUUAGACCGUCUCUCCUGAUGUAAACCAUCUUGGACCCUGCACUCACCAGCUGAGGUUGUUCUUCGUGUGCCUCCUCCACAAGAAGUAUGGAAGGUGGGAACACAAGAACAGGCUUUUUUUGUGGUGGCUCCCAGUUUGUGAGUGCUCUCUCCAGGGAGGCUUGCCUGGCACCCUCAUUACAUAUAUUUAGGUGCCAGGCAAAAACUUUCCUUUUUCCCCAGGCCUUUGUUUAAUUAGCCUAUCUAUGGCCUCUUAAACUGUUACUGUUUUUGUUUGUUACAGCAAUCUGUGUAUGUAUCACACCAAUCUCAACAUUAAAACUUUUGGAAAGAAUUCUUCUGCAAGUUCCUGUUCUUCUGCAACCUGGGAACAACGACUGUGUGGGACCAGAGUGGUAGUAUGCAGUGCCCAGUUUCCUUUCAGUCCCACAGUCCUAUUAUUAUGUACAAAUAAUGCCACUAUGCAUGGAACAGAGUUUGCAAAGUGGGGUCCAUGACCCCAUUAAGGAUGAAAGAACACACUCAGUAGACUGGACAAUUCAUGCAUGAGGUAAUUUUUUCUACGAGCAACUGGAAAACUGAGUAAAUGUUGCAAUAAGAGGCAAAGCCAAAUCUUGUUCUUUCUGGAAGGACUUCCUCUAGCUAUCAAAAAGUGGCUGUGCAGUGGUUAGGGCAUGUAUUUAUGGCAGUACACCUCUGGGGAGGAUAUUCCAUGUUCCUAAAUGUAGAAUCAUAGAACUGUAGAAUUGGAAGGGACCCUGAGGGGUAAUCUAGUCCAACACCCUGAAGUGCAGGAUGUCAGUAUUUCAGUGCUGUGCAGUUGGUACACUAUACGCAGCCCUCAUAGGUCUUUACAGCUCCCUCCCCCCAAAUUUACCCCACUGCUGCUACCAUUGGUUUUACAGCCACUGAUUUUGCUUCUGUUGAAUGCUUUCAUUUCUAUCACUCCAGCCUGCCAACAAAUAGUUCCUUUGUCACCUCUGCACCUUGUUUCUUGCAAGGGUUGGCAAAUCAGGUUGCUGACAUAAAAAACAAACAAACAAACAUUGUGGGACAUCAUCUAUAUGCUUGGUGACCUUUUGUGCUUUGUUCAAAAAUAACAAAAAACUGAGAACUUUCUUCUCUUUGCCUAAAUUGAUAAAGGAAUGUUUUUGUCAAGGGAGGUUAAGAAGGAAAGUUAACAGCAGUCAACGUAAUAGUGAACACCAUAUAUUUCUGAAAUAGCUAACUUUUACAGUAAGUAAGUAAGUAAGUAAGUAAAUACCUGUGUGUGAGUAGGGGGAAUAUUGCGUCUCCCAUAUAUCCCGAAAAGUGAGUCCUUUGCCAGAGAAACAUUAAAUUUCAGGUACAUUGGGUGAUGGAUCAUAAUCUGGAAACGCCAGAAGAGGCCUGGAAGAAUGGCUUGAAUCACUUGAACUCCAAUUUCAAUUUCCCCCGUGUCUAUUGCCUGUCCUUUCUGAAACACUAUUUCUCCAGAAACAAAGAAGAAGAAGAAAGAGUUUGCUGUCAUUUAAAAAUAAUGAGAAGAACAGUUUGAGGAACAUGCUCAACUCUGUCCAAAAAAGUUUGAGGAACGUGCACAACUAUGCCCAUCCCUUUAAGAAUUUCUCAGAGGCAUUCAGUGUAUGCUGGGGAGAAGAGGACCAGAAUCCCAAGUUCUCUCCAACUGCUUUUCCUAGCAUGCUUUCAACAUUUGUCUGCAGACGGCCAAGUGAACCUAACAAAGUGGACAGUGUGGAUCUAACAGAGAAGUCAAGAGUAUGUUCUGUUGCUCCCCACCUCAUUUUUUCAUCAAAUCUAAAAUAACUCGUAUUCCUAAGCAGCUGAGCCUGUCAAGUGCCUGAAAGAGAUGGAUAAAUAUCUGGCUUAAAUUAGCGUCAAUUUGUGAACAGCUCCAAACAAGUCGUGGUUAAAUUAUUCCAUCAUCAUCAUUUAUCAUUAAAAUGCCCAAGCCUUUAAAUAUACACUGCUCUGUUAUUUUUAUAUCUUGAGUGGUACAGAAAUUCUACGCCAUUCCAAUCUCUGAGCGCAGUGAAAUUCCAGGGGUUCCAGGAUCUCACCAAGAGUCUUUGUUUCCUUUUGGAAAUGUGGCACAGCAGAGACUGUGGUGUCUUUAGGAUAUAUGGUUUAUUGACACAUAUAUACAACCUGAGCCUACGAAGCAGGGCUUUGCAGCAUUACCGCCCCAAUAGGACCUUGCUUCUCCCAUAGGUGCAGCCUUGGAUUCAAACAGACAUCAAACAUUGUGCUCUGCCUGCUGCUUUGGUUCUCUGUCACAUAACUCCUAAGUCAACUCUAAGCUUCUAACUCACAUUGCUCUAUCUGUUGAGGGAGGGGCCCUACCCAUUUGCCAUCUAGUACUGAUCCUCCUUUGAUCAUUGCUUUAUUAAUGGCCCAUUGCCUUUGUUUUCUUAAUAGCUUAUCACCCCAGGUUAAUACCUCAUCAGAAAACUAGCCUGGCUUAUAUUUUAAGACUAGCACUCAUUUUAGCACACCAAGCCUUAAUUAAAUUCUAACACAUGCUAAAUCCAAGGAUUAUAGUGUUCUGGCACCCACAAACUCAUAACACUAUAAUUAAGUAAUGUCUAUGGGCUGCCUACAUACUUGCAACCUAAUAGACUUUGGACUGCAAUUAAACCAUAAGAAAAGCAGUAGCAUUCAUCAUUCUUCAGCUUUAAAGACCUUUCAGAUUUGUUCAUUUCCUUGGUUUGUUUAUUUUAGAGCAUUUGUAACCCAGUGCUCAGCCAAGAAGGCUUGCAGAAUGGCUGGGAUAAAAUCAGUUAAAACAGGACAGUCCCUGCUUACAGAAUCAUAAUCUAAAAGACAUGACUCAAAGGGAGAUACUGACUUGAAGCAAACUUUUUACAAGCCAUUAACCAUAACGUUAAGCAAAAUGCAAAAACAUAUUUUCUUAUGCUAUUGCCAUUAAGUAUAAAGAGUCAAUUGCAUUGUUUUAGUACAAUAACUCUAAGGUCAAGGACAAAACAAUGUGUUUAUCAGUAAUGGUAAUGUUGGUCAGUGUUGACGGCCUUUAAAUGAGAUUGUAACUACCUUACUUUCUAAAAUGAAAGUUUAAAGAUCUGCUGUUCUGAUGGGAGAUGAAACAAUAUAUUGUAGUAUCAGAUGAUAUUAUUCAGGCAUGACAUGAUGCUGUUAUGGAAAUGGUUCCUUCUUAGCAGAACUGUCCAUCAUUCACCCACUUGCGGCAAGCCUUUCUACUCUAUAAUUGUAAACUAAAAUGCAUAAAUCUAUGAGCUGGUUUACAGUAUGUAAUCGAAAGUCGCUUUAUCCUCUUUACCAUUUUACACACACUGCCCUAUCGUAGGGCUAGCCCAGCUUGAGUUAAAAGAAGCCCCCAUGAACCUCAGCAUAAAGACACUCUGCACAUCAGUUGCUACUGGUUGGGCUGAUGGGUGCUCUUUGCCACAUGCUACCUACUCCUUCCUCAGGUCAAGCUCCCCCCACCAAAGCUCAGAAAGUUCCAACUCAUUUCAAAGCAAGCCGUCCCCCUGCUCUGUUCUUCUUUAUUGAUUUACAUUGCUGAGGCCCAGAAUGAGGAAAAACUAAGUAAAGAACUGACCACCCAUUACUGCUAUCUCAGAAAAGGAGUUGGUGCUGCUGUGGUCUGAACCACAGAGCUUCUUGGGCUUGCUGAUCGGAAAGUCGGUGGUUCGAAUCCCCAUGACAGGGUGAGCUCCUGUUGCUUUUGCCAAGCUAGCAGUUCGAAAGCAUACUAGUGCAAGAAGAUAAACAGGUACCGCUGUGGUGGGAAGGUAAACAGGGUUUCUGUGUGCUCUGGCUUUUGUCAUUGUGUUUUGUUGCACCAGAAGCGGUUUAGUCAUGCUGGCCACAUGACCCGGAAAGCUGUCUGUGGACAAAUGCCGGCUCUCUGAGCCUGAAAGCGGAGAUGAGUGCCACACCCCGUAGUCAAGUUUGACUGGAAUUAACUGUCCAGGGGUCCUUUACCUUUACCUGCUAUCUCAGAGCUACUCAAAUUUCAACCUCAAGCUGUUAUUCACAGCUCACAUUCAUUCUCUCAUUUGAUAACCAGAGAUUUUUAUAUUUUACAGCAUCCAGAGGAUGCCUAUCUAGGAGAGCUGAGAAACCCGUGGCAUUCCAUAUGUCAUCAGACUCCAACUUCUAUCAACCCCACCUAGCUUGGGCAAUGGUCAGGUUUAGUAGGGGUGGAGUCCAGCAACCAUCUGAGGUCUACAGGUUUCCCAGUCCUGCUGUAAAUAGAUGGAUUUUGGAAGGCAACACAACACCUUGAAUAAUUUAGCUUUAACUUCCCAAAGGCAAAAGAGUGGGAAGCUCUUUUUUUAUCACAAUGGAUAGAAUUCAGGAUGUUUACACACAAUAAGCUUCUCAAGCCCCUGGUUUAAUGCUUAGCAUUAAUUAGUUGGUUGUUGGUUUUUUUGCCAUGGGUAUUACUGUGGGAGAUGGAACAGCGUGGUUAGUAGUUUUAUCAGACAUGGAUCCCAAUCUUAUGCAAGUUUAUUUAGAAGGAAGUCCCACUGAGUUAAAUUAGACAUAUUGUCAAAUAGAUGCUCAUAGGAUCGCAGCCAUAGUAUAAAACCAUAACUACACUGACUUGGGAGUAAGCCUCAAUGAACUCAGUCGGAUUUACUUCAAAGUAAACUUAGGUACCUAGAAAGUUGCCUUAUGUCAGAUUAUUUCACUAUCUAGCUCAGCAUGGUCUACACUAGCCAAUGUGGUACCCUCCACAUAUUGCUUGACUACAGUUCCCAUCAUUGCUAGCCAUUGGCUGUGCUGGUUAGGCCUGAUGUGAGCUGUAGUCCAACAACAUCUGGAAUGCGCCACAACAUACUAAGGAUUAAACCUGGGACCUUCUGUAUGCAGAGCAGGUGGUCUUCCAUGCUUGCAUAAAAUUGGGUUCUGUGUCUGGUAUUUCAAGAAGCUUCUCUUUUGUCAAGUGAUGAGCUUUCCAAAACAGCAAUGCUUAUUAUUCUCUUGACAUUUUCCUGUUCACUUCAAUGCACCUUAUAUCAAAUAAAGUUUUAAAAUGUAUUCCUACUAUAAAUGCGUUAUCCUGCUUUUUACAUCAUUUUUGAGCAUACUGACAGCAAAGACAGACUCCUAAUCACUGAUUGCUCAUGGCUUCAAGAAAUUGAAAAUCUGAGCAGCAAAGCACCAAUUAUCCUCCCAGUGAAGUGCCUGUGUGCCGAUCAUCACUGAUUCCUGAAACAAUCAAUCUCAUUAUGCUUCCCUGCUAAGCACCAGCCAUCAAUAGGAUGUCUCGAUUUUUUAAUCAUAGUGCAACCUAUUAAAAUACUAACAUAACCACAUGCCAGAGUGUUCAGAAAUGCCACCUUAAAGGAACCAGCCUCUGUCAAUGUGCAAAAUUUGAUUGCCAUCAUAAUUUCUCAUUAAUGAGUACUUAUUCCUCCCAUGAUGGGGGACCAUUCAAACAUGUCAAUUCCCUUUCCACCAUUACCAGUAUGAUUUGAUAGCAUCCAGAAAAAAGCUUCUCUGCUCUAUUCAGCUAAAUGUGUAAACUAGCACAUAAUGAUAAAUGAUGCUCAAGACUUGGUGCAAGAUACAAGUACCACCAAGCUCCUUUGAAAGACCGAUCAAAUUCUCUGAGUCCCUGGGAAGAGAAUUUGGCAACCACUGUGCUUUCCAUAAAUAGAGUUAGAGUUCCACAACUAUGAUACUUCUCCAGUAACAGAGUUUGGGUUAAUUAACCAAAACAGCAAAAAAUAAUCUAUGCUCAUUCCCCUCUGAUACCCUUUUUGUGCUAUGAAGGAACACAAGCUGUCAAGUUAUUUCCUAGAAGAGUCAAUGUCAAAAUGGAUGCCUAGCAGAGCAACUUAUAUUGCUAAGCACAGUCUAGAACAGCUGUAUAGGUGACUGCCUCAGUUCGGUAAUAGUAUCAUGUAGAACUGGAAAAGCAAUGUCAACAGCUUAAACAAGGAGUCAACAAACUCUUUAGGCCAAUGGGCAUAUUUGAAUUUUUCAUGUUGUGAGUGCCACUUCCCCUGGUUCCUUCUCUCUCCUUUUCCCCAGUCAGUCCCUCUGCCACCCUGCCCAAAACACAGAAAGCAACCAAGCGAGCAGACAUGCAAGUAGCUUUUCCAAGGAAUCUGGGUAGAAGUGGGAUACAGUAGAAUUAAUCUGAGCUUUUAAAAGCUCAUAGAGCUGAAAUGGAAAAUUGGAAAGUAUCACUUUUCCAAUUUCCUCCUUCAGCUCUAUGCAUUCAGGGGAGAAAGAAGUAACCAUCCUCACCGCCUCAUGACCGGGGGGGGGGGCAUUGAAGGGAGAAGAUGCAGAGGCUUCAUGGGGACGAGGGGAAGACUUCAAUGUUUGUGACCUCUGACUUAAGCAUUUGAAAGAGAAAGGGAUGUACCUUUUCUUUCUGUUUUAUCAGAACCUUUCCCUCCGAUGGGUGAGUAGGUUGUGUCCAGGAACUCUGUGCCUUUGCUUCCUUUACUGACUCCAUUUUCAUAAAGGUGCCCUCCAACAGGCUGUAGCUGCCAAGUUAGGCCAAAUAAAUGUACUGCUGUUAAAGGAGAGGGUGAGAGGAGAGGAAGAAAAAAGACGCACAAUUAAUUUAUGCCCACCUUUAUUACAUGAAGGAAAAAGGUAGUGGGGAAGCUUCUGCAGAAGUCAAUUACUGUGUUUGGAAUAAAUUGGAAUUCUAAGUAUGCUAAUUUCACCUUAAACUAAAUGUUUAAUUAGUUUCCGCACUUUUCUUUUGGAGAUCAGCCAAUACUAGAUGAUGAAUUUCCUUGGCAAUUAACAAAAAUGCUUGCAAUUCAAGGGACAAAGGCUUUGUAAGUUAUAUAUAUAUUGCAUGGAAAGUUGUAACGCUGAAUGUGUGGGUGAAAUUACACACUCUACUGCAACCUUUUCAAACCUGGAGGCUGUUUCGCCUAUGCAAAUUGAAGCUAGAAGGGCACAGUAUGCAGUAAAAUGGUUUGGGGAGGGAGUGGAGGAAGGAUGCUUAACCCUCUCAUCACCCACUGCUUCUCUCCUCACUACCACUCCCUUGUACAAUUAACUUUCCUGCCAACAUCUAAAACAUAGGUUUGGAAUCGGAGCUGGUAAGAGCCAAGAAAAGGAUUAAGCAGUGUUCUCUUUUCUAAAGCUUCUGAGCUUCCAAUCCCGGCCCUGGUUUAAACAGUAGAAGCAGAAUCUGUGCUUUCAUCCUGCGUUAAACUGAUUAAAAUGUUCAGAAUUAGAGCGGGAAAUGUAACCCCCUUUUAAAAAAUGCAUGCAGAUAGGCUAAUCGGUAAGGUAAAGGUAAAGGGACCCCUGACCAUUAAGUUUUCCAGCUUGCGGUUCUCCAUUUCCAUGUCUGUUUGACAUUUAUUAAAAUAAUAAAUAAGUCCUCAUGAGAAUUCAUCGCUAUUUCAGUGCAAAUUUCUCCUAAUAUGCACGUGUUUGUAUUAAACUUUGCCCAAUACACAUUUUUGCAAAUCAAAUUAUCCCUAAAAUAAUGUAGGUUAUUUGUAUGUUAUUUUCACAAAUAUGUGCAUUUUGGUACACACUACUUGGUUGGAAAACUGCACAACUCAGAAAUGUUUGAAUUUCAAAGGAUGGCUGAGUUUCAGGUCUCUUAUACUUUCAGAAUGUGAAUUACGGUAGGUAGGUUUACCUUUAAAUGCAAACUGAUGGAAUUCAUCCCUUAUCCUUGGGUAAAGGUCAAAACAAACAAACAAACAAACAAACAAAAUCCUUCCAGUAGCACCUUAGAGACCAACUAAGCUUGUUAUUGGUAUGAGCUUUUGUGUGCAUGCACACUUCUUCAGAUACACCUUGGGUAAAGGUAUUAUUUUGGCUUCUUUUUGCAGAAUACAGAACCCUGAAAGCUGUAUUCCUAAGGUUAUUAAUUUCAGAUGAUUCUGGGUAUACUGGCACACAACAAACCCAUUUAUCCAAAGGCUGCCUAGUUCCAAGCUGAAUGCUGCUGCUGCUUCUCCAUGUCAAUAUGUCUGGAAAAUGUGAGCUGGAGAGGAGUGUGUUUGUGUAAUUCCCACAAGAAAUCUCCCCAAAAUUAACAGUUCUUGAGUCCAAGAGGCUCUGAGAGAAAGCAGUCACUGAAAUCUCCUGGCUUCAAGAACUGCAAAUUCUGGCAGUGUGUUUUUUUUCCUGGGGGGGACGCAGGGGGACGCAUACCCCUAAACAUUUUGUGAAUCUAAGUUUGGCCUCAUUGAGGGGCAGUAUUUUAAUAUGAGUAGGAAAAUGAGAGUACCCCUAAACGUUUUU
rnacentral:lncRNA from 1 species